rnacentral:tRNA from 1 species
GGGGGAAAGGCUCAGUGGUAGAGCAUCUGCUUCAUCUGCAGAAGUUACCAGGUUUUAUCCCUGUCAUCUCCA